rnacentral:rRNA from 1 species
UACGGAGGGUGCAAGCGUUAUCCGGAUUCACUGGGUUUAAAGGGUGCGUAGGUGGGUUGGUAAGUCAGUGGUGAAAUCUCCAGGCUUAACUUGGAAACUGCCAUUGAUACUAUCAAUCUUGAAUACCGUGGAGGUCAGCGGAAUAUGUCAUGUAGCGGUGAAAUGCUAGAUAUGACAUAGAACACCAAUUGCGAAGGCAGCUGGCUACACGAAUAUUGACACUGAUGCACGAAAGCGUGGGGAUCAAACAGG